rnacentral:rRNA from 1 species
GGGAAUCUUCCACAAUGGACGCAAGUCUGAUGGAGCAACGCCGCGUGAGUGAAGAAGGUUUUCGGACCGUAAAGCUCUGUUGUUGGUGAAGAAGGAUAGAGGUAGUAACUGGCCUUUAUUUGACGGUAAUCAACCAGAAAGUCACGGCUAACUACGUGCCAGCAGCCGCGGUAAUACGUAGGUGGCAAGCGUUGUCCGGAUUUAUUGGGCGUAAAGCGAGCGCAGGCGGAAGAAUAAGUCUGAUGUGGAAGCCCUCGGCUUAACCGAGGAAUUGCAUCGGAAACUGUUUUUCUUGAGUGCAGAAGAGGAGAGUAGAACUCCAUGUGUAGCGGUGGAAUGCGUAGAUAUAUGGAAGAAUACCAGUGGCGAAGGCGGCUCUCUGGUCUGCAACUGACGCUGAGGCUCGAAAAGCAUGGGUAGCGAACAGGAUUAGAUACCCUGGUAGUCCAUGCCGUAAACGAUGAGUGCUAAGUGUUGGGAGGCUUCCGCCUCUCAGUGCUGCAGCUAACGCAUUAAGCACUCCGCCUGGGGGAGUACGACCGCAAGGUUGAAAC